rnacentral:rRNA from 1 species
UUCUGGCUCAGGAUGAACGACUAGCGGCAGGACUUAACACAUGCAAGUCGAGGGGCAGCGUGGAGUAGCAAUACUCUGACGGCGACCGGCGAAAGGGUGAGUAACGCGUGAGCAACAUGCCCGUAGUUGGGGGAUAGUCGAUGGAAACGUCGCGUAAUACCCCGUAACAACAGAGGCCGCAUGACCUUUGUUUAAGAGAUUUAUUGUCUACGGAUUGGCUCGCGUACCAUUAGCUAGUUGGCGGGGUAACGGCCCACCAAGGCGACGAUGGUUAGGGGUUCUGAGAGGAAGGUCCCCCCACAUUGGAACUGAGACACGGUCCAGACUCCUACGGGAGGCAGCAGUGAGGAAUAUUGGUCAAUGGCCGAGAGGCUGAACCAGCCAUGCCGCGUGCGGGAUGACGGCCCUAUGGGUUGUAAACCGCUUUUGUUGGGGAGCAAUAAGGUUCACGUGUGGACUGAUGAGAGUACCCAGCGAAUAAGCAUCGGCUAACUCCGUGCCAGCAGCGGC